AUACGUAGGUGGCAAGCGUUGUCCGGAAUUACUGGGUGUAAAGGGAGCGCAGGCGGGGAUGCAAGUUGGAUGUGAAAUACCGCAGCUUAACUGCGGAGCUGCAUCCAAAACUGUAUUUCUUGAGUGAAGUAGAGGUAGGCGGAAUUCCUAGUGUAGCGGUGAAAUGCGUAGAUAUUAGGAGGAACACCAGUGGCGAAGGCGGCCUACUGGGCUUUAACUGACGCUGAGGCUCGAAAGUGUGGGGAGCAAACAGGAUUAGAUACCCUGGUAGUCCACACUGUAAACGAUGAUUGCUAGGUGUGGGGGGACUGACCCCUUCCGUGCCGGAGUAAACACAAUAAGCAAUCCACCUGGGGAGUACGACCGCAAGGUUGAAACUCAAAUGAAUUGACGGGG
rnacentral:rRNA from 1 species